rnacentral:lncRNA from 1 species
GAGAGGGAGAGCCUGCAGGGCAGGUGAGUCCCUGAGGGGCCAGGCUCUCCAGCUGGGCCCUGCGGGUCAGUGCAUAGAGACCCAGGCUUCCACAAGUCCCCAUCCCGACCCUGUCACCUCUUACUGUUCUGCCACUAGCUGCUGGGACCUGUCCCAGGUCACAUCUGAGCUCUGAACCAUGGCAACUUCCAGGUUGCCCGCGGUGCCUGAGGAGGAGACCACCAUCCUCAUGGCCAAGGAAGAGCUGGAGGCCCUGCGCACAGCCUUUGAGUCUGGCGACAUCCCUCAGGCCGCCUCUCGCCUUCGGGAGCUGCUGGCCACCACGGAGACCACCCGGCUGGAAGUGGGCGUCACGGGCGAGUCGGGAGCCGGCAAGUCCUCCCUCAUCAAUGCCCUGCGGGGAGUGGGGGCCGAGGAUCCUGGUGCAGCUCUCACUGGGGUCGUGGAGACCACCAUGCAACCUUCACCCUACCCGCACCCACAGUUUCCCGACGUGACCCUGUGGGACCUGCCCGGGGCCGGUUCUCCAGGCUGCUCAGCAGACAAGUAUCUGAAGGAGGUGGAUUUCGGCCGCUAUGACUUCUUCUUGCUCGUCUCCCCCCGCCGCUGUGGCGCAGUGGAGACCCGCCUGGCUUCCGAGAUCCUGCGCCAGGGGAAGAAGUUU